rnacentral:lncRNA from 1 species
GAAUGCCCAGCAAAGAUUAAGCGUGUUGCAUUCGAAGUGAUCAGACUACCGCUAGGCCAUUUCAACUCAAAAUAUAUAAAAUAUCGUUGCAUCGGUAAAACUUUGAAUCAUUUUUGACAAAACUAUUAGAAUUUAAGACUGCUCUGCUUUUACAAUAACUGUUUACUUGUUAUCAUUUCAAUGAAUAUCGAGUAAUAUUUGUCGAUGGACGGUUGUUGAGUUAAUGCACGGUAUUGUGAUUUUUUUCACAAUUGAAUUUAUAGAACCUUUUGUUAAGAUUCAUUGUCAUAUGUAUCAAAUCAAAAUAGCUUUCUAUUACCAGUUCCUUGGCGUUGCAACACCACUGCAUGGUCAUCCAAUCAAAAAAGGAAAGUUAUAAUAUUUAUUUUAUUAAUAAUAUAAUCUUUUAUUCGUAAGCAAU